CCUACGGGAGGCAGCAGUGGGGAAUAUUGGGCAAUGGAGGAAACUCUGACCCAGCAACGCCGCGUGAAUGAUGAAGGUCUUCGGAUUGUAAAGUUCUUUUCUACGGGAAGAAGAAAGUGACGGUACCUUACUAAGAAGCCCCGGCUAACUACGGGCCAGCAGCCGCGGGAAUACGUAGGCGGCAAGCGUUAUCCGGAUUUACUGGGUGUAAAGGGAGCUUAGACGGCGAUGCAAGUCUGAAGUGAAAGGCGGGGGCCCAACCUCCGGACUGCUGUUGAAACUGUAUGGCUAGAGUGCAGGAGAGGUAAGUGGAAUGCGUAGUGGAGCGGUGAAAUGCGUAGAUAUUAGGAGGAACACCAGUGGCGAAGGCGGCUUACUGGACUGUAACUGACGUUGAGGCUCGAAAGCGUGGGGAGCGAACAGGAUUAGAUACCCGAGUAGUC
rnacentral:rRNA from 1 species